UGUGUAUCAGUACAUGGCAUAUCAAUAAGCGGAGGAAAAGAAACUAACUAGGAUUCCCUCAGUAACGGCGAGUGAAGCGGGAAGAGCUCAAAUUUGAAAUCUUCAAGGUUCUACCUUGACGAAUUGUAGUUUAAAGAAGUGUUUUCCUGUUGGAGUUUCGGUAAAAGUUCUUUGGAAUAGGACAUCAUAGAGGGUGAGAAUCCCGUAUUUGACCGUUACUUUCCAGCUGUGUGAUACACUUUCAAAGAGUCGGAUUGUUUGGGAAUGCAGUCCAAAAUGGGUGGUAAAUUUCAUCUAAAGCUAAAUAUUGGCGAGAGACCGAUAGCGAACAAGUACCGUGAGGGAAAGAUGAAAAGAACUUUGAAAAGAGAGUUAAACAGUACGUGAAAUUGUCAAAAGGGAAGCGUUUGACACCAGUGUUGUUUCCUCGAAAAUCAAUUAAAAAGAGUCGGAUUUUGUAUUGUUAAGACCUUAUCAGCUUACUGUACUUUUUUCUUGCUCUUUUUAAUGCACUUUUCGUUUAACAAGUCAACAUCAAUUUCUUUUGUUGUAAAAGGGUCAUUGGAAGGUGGCUUUCACUUCGGUGAAAGUGUUUAUAGCCUUUGACUUCUGCAAUCGGAGAAAUUGAGGUCUGCAGCGUAGAUCCUUCGGGGUUAGAUACGUAGAUGCUAAGUUAUAGUUUUUUAUAGACAACUUGUUGACUAUGAUUAAUCAUGUAGCUUACUCAUUUGCGCUAUUUUACCUACGCUUAGGAUGUUGACAGCAGUAUAGACUGU
rnacentral:rRNA from 1 species